rnacentral:lncRNA from 1 species
AUUAUCCAUCAACUUUGUCUUGCUCACUAUGCUUAAGGUUAGAGUAGAAAAAUACACUUUUGGUUUUGUUGGUGUUUUCCACCAACAGAGCCCAUGCACUUGAUCUCUGCCUUGUCUUUAUGAGCAGGUACACUUCGAGCAAAAUAUGAAGGAGGUUUACAACUCCCAGACUCCACCAAGUGAAGAACCUAGAUCUACGAGCACAAACACAC